GCGGGUGUAAUUUAAUGGUAGAAUACCAGCUUCCCAAGCUGGAUGCGUGGGUUCGAUUCCCAUCACCCGCUCCA
rnacentral:tRNA from 1 species